ACUCUGUCCACAAUAAUUUUUUAAAAUUAAACAUUGUCUCACUUUUCCUACUUUAGUAGACUAUGUGAAAAAAAAAACUUUUGAUUGACAAAAUGAGCCAUAAAGAGUGAUUUGUGUGAUGGAUCUGGACAAAUUAAAUUAAAAAAGGAAUUGAGAAGCCUAGAAAGCCUGGUAAAGGGUGGAUGGGCACAGGUACUGACAAGGAUGUGAAAUCUGUGAAGCUUUCCCACCUCCCUUUUUGAAGCAUAUUUCUUUUCAGUUGAUCUGCAAGCGUCUGUUGUGGCCUGGCAACCAUGGCUAUGGGCAAGAAUUCAAAUAUAGACCAAGAGGGCAUUUUGCCAUUUUAGCAGAUGGACAUGCA
rnacentral:lncRNA from 1 species